rnacentral:lncRNA from 1 species
CAUGGUUUACCGUAUUGUCCGUAUCAUCUGAUAUGGAUGGUAUCAUAUUGUACCAAUCUCAUAUAUAUUCAUCAUCUUAUAUCAUAUCGAUAUUUUAUAUAUUAUUUUUUACUAUAUCAAAUUAUAUAUAGUUAUUUUAAUAGAAUGAUACUGAUAUGGGCUCUGAUCUGAAGAUAGUGAAUUUAAUUUUUUGCUCUCGCA